UGGAAUAUGUAUCGGAGAUAUUAAAAUUCCAAUGGUAGUUACUUAAAUGAGACUAUCUUGUACAAAUUUGUGGAAAGGUCCCCUGAUAAUUUGAGCUUUUAAGUUCCAGAAAUUUUAACAUGAUAUUCCCAGAUAUUUUGAACUUGCAAAAACUGCGAACUUUUUUUUUUUUUUUUUUUUUUUUUUUUUUGUGUGUGGAUCUUCAGUUUUUAAGUCUACAAUUCCUAACGCCCUCGAUCGCUGUUGUGAUUGGAUGCAUCUUCGUUUUGAUUUGGAGAAUCUCCUCCACAGCUCUGAGCCUCUGCGUGUUAGUCGAUUGGUCUUCUCUCCUCUUCUUAUUCUCUCAAUUCUCUCUCUCUCCAUCGCCUUAUAGCCAAACCCUCUGUCCGUCUUCACACCAGAAAUCCCAGUCUUCGACUUUUUGGUUUUUUUUUUUCAAUUGGGUUCGUUGAUAUUGACGAUCCUGAACGCCCCGCGAAUUGAGUCGCAGAACCCGGGGGUUGAGUGAACUGCCUCUUCGGCCACCUAUAGUCGGUAACAUGGAUCCUCCUCAAACUUUGCCAUCCAUGUCCUCUCAAUUUCGGCCUCCCAUUCCAGCACUGCCACAGUCACAGCAGUUCAUUCCUGUGGGUUCUCAGCAUUUUCAGCCAGUUGGUCGGGGUGUUCCAAUGGUGAAUGUCAGAGUGCCUCCUCAAGCACCAAAACCACCCGUAUAUGGUCAGCCCAUGCCGCAAUUGCCUCCAAGACCUGGUCAACCAGGUAUGCUUCUUCCAUCACAGACGGUUCCAUUGGCAGUUGGUCAGCCUAAGGGCCAUUUUACAUCAGAAUCACCAUUGCCUCUGCCUAGCAGUCAAGCACCAAAUAAUUACAUGCCUAGCCUAGGAGGUGGUCGAGGAAUGCCGCUCUCUUCCUCAUAUACUUUUACACCUUCUUAUGGUGUACAAAGAGGCAAUGAUGGUUCCACCCAGUAUCAGUCUAUACCUCAAGUGCAUGUUGCAAAUGUUUCUUCUGGGGGACAACUUAGACCAUCAACUGAAAGCCAGAGCACUGCCAUUGUUACACCUAUGCAGCAAACUAAUGAACAGCCUCCAAUGAUGAAUGUCGCUGCUCCAGCAACAAGUACCCAACCUAGCCUCAGUGCAGAGGCCUCGUCGGAUUGGAGAGAACAUACAUCUGCUGAUGGAAGAAGGUAUUAUUAUAAUAGAAAGACAAAACUAUCAAGUUGGGAUAAACCUUUAGAAUUGAUGACAGCAACUGAGAGGGCAGAUGCAUCAACAAAUUGGAAGGAAUUUACUAGUCUCGAUGGAAGAAAGUAUUAUUAUAACAAAGUCACCAAAGAAUCAAAAUGGAGAGUUCCUGAGGAGCUGAAGUUGGUACGAGAAAAAGUAGAAAAAGCUUCUGUUGAGGAAACACAACAAGAAAUGCCUGUGAAUAGUAGUGUCCCAACUUCUGUAUCUCCUACUGUGGCUGAGCCUACACCUAGUGGCGAUACCUCAUCUUCCAAAGCUGAAGGAGUUGCAUCAAGCCCUGUUUCAGUAGCACCUGUUCCGGCUGCUGAUCUGCAAACUAUGGUGGUUCCAAGAUCAUCUGCCUUACCGGUUGUAGCUGCUACAAUGAAAACAAAUACAGAUGGAGAUCAGAUACCUACAAAUGCUGUAUUAACAUUUGAUGCUGUAACUGGAAGUGCUGGAACUUCUGUUACAGGAAUUAGUAUCGCUACAGAACCAAUGAAUAAUGUCAAUAAUUUUUCAGCAAUGGAUGUUGUCGGUUCUGCAGAUGAAGUUCAUGUACUAGUUAAAGAGGAAGAUUUGAAAGGUGUAAUAGGAGAGAAAAUCAGUGAUACAGCAUCAGAAGAUAAAACUGUUGAUAGAGAACCUUUAGUAUAUGGAAAUAAGCAGGAGGCAAAAAAUGCAUUUAAAGCGCUCUUGGAGGAUGCCAAUAUUGGGUGUGAUUGGACAUGGGAUCGGGCCAUGAGAGUAAUAAUUAAUGACAAAAGAUAUGGUGUUUUAAAAACGCUUGGAGAUCGGAAGCAAGCUUUUAAUGAGUUCUUGAUUCAAAGGAAAAAACAGGAUGCUGAGGAAAGACGCAUGAAGCAGAAAAAGGCUCGGGAAGAAUUCAAAAAAAUGUUGGAAGAAUCCACAGAGCUGACAUCAUCCAUGAGAUGGGGCAAAGCAGAAAGUCUGUUUGAAAGUGAUGAGAGAUUUAAACUUGUUGAGCGGGAUAGGGAUCGGAGGGAUUUAUUUGAGAACCAUGUGGAGGAACUGAGGAAGAAGGAACGAGCAAAGGCACAGGAGGAAAGGAAAUGCAAUAUAAUGGAAUACAGGCACUUUUUGGAAUCUUGUGACUUUAUUAAGGCAAGCAGCCAGUGGCGAAGAGUUCAAGACCGAUUAGAGGCUGAUGAAAGAUGUUUACGGCUUGAAAAAAUUGAUCGCUUGGAAAUUUUUGUGGAGUAUACACGCGAUCUGCAGAAAGAAGAGGAGGAACAGAAGAAGAUACAGAAGGAAGAAUUGAGGAAGGUAGAGCGUAAAAACCGUGAUCAGUUCCGCAAAUUGAUGGAAGAUAAUGUUGCUGCAGGUUUGCUUACAGCGAAAACUCACUGGCGUGAAUAUUGCAUGAAGGUUAAAGAUUUACCUGCGUAUAAGGAAGUUGCUUCAAAUACCUCAGGUCCAACUCCUAAAGACUUGUUUGAAGAUGUAGCUGAGGAGCUUCAGAAACAAUAUCAUGAGGAUAGAACACAGAUUAAAGAUGCCAUCAAGUUGAGAAAGAUCAUGCUUUCAACAGCCUGGACAUUUGAAGAAUUAAAAAGUGCGAUUGUAAAUGAUAUUAGCUCCCCACCAGUGUCAGAUACCAAUUUAAAGCUAGUAUUUGAUGAAUUACUUGAAAGAGUCAGGGAGAAGGAGGAAAAAGAAGCUAAAAGGCGUAAACACCUUUCUGAUAGUUUCUUUCAUCUUCUAUCUUCUAUCAAGGAUAUAACUGCAUCUUCGGAGUGGGAGGACAGCAAACGACUUUUUGAAGGUAGUCAGGAGUGCAGUUCCAUUGGUGAGGCUAGCGUUUGCAGGGAGAUAUUUGAGAGAUACGUAAUGCAACUGAAAGAGCAUGAACAGAGGGAACAGAAAAGAAAGGAGGAUAAGGUGAGGAAAGAAAAAGAGAAAAGAAAGGUCAAGCAAAGGAAGGAAAAAGAGGCUAGUGAGUUAGAAAAAGAUGGAGCAGAUGGCGAAACUGCUGAUGUUACUGAAGGUCAUUUUUGUAAAGAGAACAGAAGUUCAACCAAAGACGGUAAUAGAAAAGAAAGGAAGCGGAAUAGUAGUGAGGAUUAUGUGGAUGCAAAUGAGGAUGAACGGAUGACGAAAUCCCAUGGAUCUAGCAAUGACAGGAAAUCAAGGCGGGCAUAAAAGGAACAAAAGGGAUCACCGGCAUGGUUCUCGUAAGAAUGGUGGUCAUGAGGAGUUUGAAGAUGGUGAAUUUGGUGAGGAACAUGGAGCUAAUAAAGAAGUACGGAAAUCAGCUUAGAAGAGCUUAACUUUCUCAAAAUAUACAAAGAAAGAAAAAUGUUGCGAGGAAAGAAGGAAAGAUGCUGUUCAAAAGAAAGAACAACCUGGAUUUUUGUUUGGAAGACUAAAUUGCUGCUCAAAGCUAAUGCAAAUGUAUCAUUUUUAGGUGUAAGAGCGUUAGUUGUUAGAAAGGUUAGGUUUAGGAAAAUGGGGUUUAUGGUGUUUUUAAGAAACUAGGGGUGAAGCACAUAAGCAAGCAAGGGCAACAAAGGAAAGAUUGGGAAAAAGGCCGCUUAAAAUCUCAACUUUUUUUGCAAAAAGGCAUUAAAUUUCAAUUAUGUGGGAAUGUUGGUUAUCAUUUUGCCUACAAUCUAUAGGAAAUUUAGCUAGCAUGAAGCAGCUUGUGUUGUGGCACAUGCAACUUCCGAUAUUGUCCCAUCGGAAGUGAAUGUCAAAAUCAAGCAGCUUAUUUGGUCUUCUGCCCAUGAUAUUUAUUCCUAUAAUGUAAAUUCUCACUUGAUUUUUUUU